rnacentral:misc_RNA from 1 species
CUCGGAGAAGGGAGGGGGUGGGGGGAAACACGGGAAAAGUGGGAGAAAGUGGCGGGUGUCUCUUUUUUUUUUCACAGGGGGGGGAGACAUGUGCACGUCUUUCCUCUCUUGUUUACCCUUGCUCUCACUCUCUCACUCUCACUCUCACACACCUGUGCACCUGUUGUAGGUCCUCGAAAGAGGGAAUCCUAUGUUUUUUCAUAUCACACCUCGUCAUAUGUUUAUAGAAUGUAUUGAAAACGUCGACUCAUUUCGAUGGGAUUGGCGUGAUCAAUAAAUUAAUAAAUCAAUACAACUUUCAGCAACGGAUCUCUUGGCUCUCGCAUCGAUGAAGAACGCAGCGAAUUGCGAUAAGUAAUGUGAAUUGCAGAUUUUCAGUGAAUCAUCGAAUCUUUGAACGCACCUUGCGCUCCUUGGUAUUCCGAGGAGCAUGCCUGUUUGAGUGUCAUUGAAUUCUCAACCAUGUCUUGAUUGAUUUUUCGAGGCAUGGCUUGGACUCUGGGGGUUGCUGGUGGCGGAAAAGCUGCCGGCUCUCCUGAAAUGCAUUAGCAGAGGGCGGGCAAGUCUUUUGACGUGCACGGCCUUCGACGUGAUAAUGAUCGUCGUGGCUGGAGCGUUUGGACAUGCAUGAAUAUCCGUUCCUACGCUUCUAAUUCCCCUCCACCUCACUACUAUAUUAGCCUUUCAAGGCUGCUUUAGCUACUAGUUGGUCGUGAGGCUGACGAACGC